CUGAAAUUCUAUACAUCCUCUAAGGUCAAGUCAAGUACCUCCUCUAGGAAAGGAGGCUUAGAGAUCACCUACGCUAUUCUUUUAUUUUUAUUUUAUAGAGGAGGAAAUAGAGGCCCAAGACUGGAAAGUGAUGUGGUUGAGGUCACACUGACAUGGAAAUUCAGAGUGGGAAGAAAACCAUAGAGGACAUAUCAAAUCCAACCUACCCCUGAGAAAGGAUCGUCCCUUCAGCAUGAAAGAAUUGGGCAAUGCAUUUAUUACAUGUUUACAGUGUACAAAGCACUGUGUUCAGAGCUGGGGGUACAAACAGAAAAGUAAGAAAAGUCCUGCUGUCAAAGGAUUCUAAUGGAGAAAACAACACAAAAGAAAAUGUUAGCUACCAGUUAGAUGGAAAAGUCCUGUGGAUCUGAAGGUGCAGCAGCAAAGCCAGUGGUGGUGCUCAGAAGGGGACAGAGUCUUCCAGAUGGGUCUGACCAGUACUGCCAGGACAAUUCAACCUCUUCCUUCUCCUUAACACCCUCCACAAAGGCAGGGGACCAGGAGGCUGCCUGCGGUGUUCCAAGCAUCCUGCUUCUGAUUUCCCUGGAUCUGAGGGGCUGAAACUCACAGGAGGGGGUGUGAAGAGGGGCCGAGAAGGAGGUACAGGACCUGUGCUGAUUUCUCAUAGAGCACUGAGGACUGAAGAGAUAUGCAAUAAAGACUUGUCAAAAUGAAA